AGUGAAUUCUACAAAGAGGCUAUGGGAAAGAAACCUGGAAAGUACCCUUGGCUGUGUACAUUUGAGUAAAGAGAGCACUAUAAAAUCAAAAACCAAUGAAAUGGUUUCCAGAACACAGAACUAUUAAGCUUAAGAAAAGGACAGAAGGAACUGAAGAGAGAGGAACUGUUUUGGAGCAUCACACUUCCACCUCAGAAGAAAUAAGGAAGGAAGGAGGAGGGUGUUCCCACGGCUCUUCAACCAGGCGGGCUCUUCAGCCUACAUCCCCAUCUCAUCAAGUAAAAGGGAUUUUUCAACUGGACCAACCAGAUGGUUUAACAGUGCACUCCCACACCAUUCAACUACGCAAGGGAGAUACACUUAACAUAUGCAGUCGUAUAACACCUACUAACAUUUUCAAACAUUAAACCUUUAAAAAAGAGUUCUAAAGAAAUAGAAGCUUGAAGUAUCAUCUCUCAAGUAUAUAGACACUACUUCAUGGUGUGGUAAUAUAUGCAUAUAGAAGCUAGUAAACACCUCCAGGAGAUGCAAAAGGAAUUAGAACUGCCACAAGGUGCAAGCAAAACCUUGAGUCUCCAUUGAUGGUGAAGUAUUUUCACUAUUUGGCAUGUCUUCUCUAGUACCUAGAGCAGUGUGUUGCAUGCAGUAGCAAGUUUAUAAACAUUUGCGAGUAAAACAUCCAACCUGAUACUCAAGGUAAUCAAUCUGCAUCCCAUUUUGGAUGAGAAUAUUUGCAACUUUGAAGGUUAUUUUAAGGACAGCAGCAGAAGAAUUAUGGCAGCUCUUCACGGAAAAAAAAAUGGCAACAAUAAAAUCAGCAACUCCUGCCAAAUAAAUGGGCAUAAAAAAGAAAUCAUAGACUGCUGGCAAUGGUGGGGAAAAAGUUAUAAAAAUUGUCUCUGCACCAUCUUCCUUUUGUCCUCUAAAAUAUUCACAUUAGCAAAAGUAUAUAACAGCUGAUGAAGAAAUACUGAUAAUUUGUCUUUCUUCUUUAAAAUAUGAAGACUUCAAAGUUAUUUAUCCAAACCAACCUGAUCAUUUCUUAAGAGUGAAUAUACCUUGGAAGAUGUGUCCUGCCUUUAGUAGCGUCACAAUGGAUUACAUCCUCUAUAAAGCAGUCUGGGGUGAGAAAAUCGAAUUUGGACACCGUUGAGGAGACUAUUGCAGUCAUCCAAGCUCAAGAUGGUGGAGCUUCAUCCUUGAGAAUAACCAAUGGGGAUAGAUUUAAGAGACACUUAGAGUCUGCAGCCAACAGGGCUGAAUGAGCAGAGAGUUAUGAUUCAGAAGAUCAUCUAAAAUUGAACAGCUGCCACUACUGGCAAUAAGUCUACUGCCAUUUGGUAGAUAACCUUCUUAUCACACAGAAAAAUAUCAGUACAGACAAAUAGACUGCAAAGAAAAUGAGACCAUCAGCAAAGAAGAUAAAGAAGUUUGUACAAAGCAACUUUUUAUAAAUGGAUGGCUGUCAGGCAAAAAUAAAUUUCCUGUGGACAAGACCAAGAGCAAGGCAAGAGGAAAAUAAACAUGUUUAAACUA
rnacentral:sRNA from 1 species